rnacentral:tRNA from 1 species
UAGAUAAAAACCAACAUGGAUAAGGUGUUUAGCUGUUAACUAAUUGUAUGUGGGAUCGAGACCCGCUUAUCUAG